GCGUSAGYSAGAGCGCUYYCRGGUCGAAAACUCUGUUGUUGGAGAAGAAUGGRMGGCAGAGUAACUGUUGCCGGCGUGACGGUAUCCAACCAGAAAGRRACGGCUAACUACGUGCCAGCAGCCGCGGUAAUACGUAGGUGGCAAGCGUUAUCCGGAUUUAUUGGGCGUAAAGCGAGCGCAGGCGGUUUUUUAAGUCUGAUGUGAAAGCCCUCGGCUUAACCGAGGAAGCGCAUCGGAAACUGGGAAACUUGAGUGCAGAAGAGGACAGUGGAACUCCAUGUGUAGCGGUGAAAU
rnacentral:rRNA from 1 species